UAGGCUGAAAAAUGACCCCCUCCUAUCACCUGCCAAGAUAUCAGAUCUUAAUUCUUUGAACUUAUAAAUGGUACCUCAUAUGGAAACAGGGUUUUUACAGAUGUAAUAAAGUUACGGAUCUUGAAAUGGGGAGAUUAUCUUGGAUUAUCAGAGUGGGCCCUAAAUGCAGUCACGUGUAUCCUGGUCAGAGGGAGAUCUGACACACACUGAUGCUGUGCGAUGGGAGAGCAGAGAGAGAUUCGGAGAUGCUGGCGGAUUGGAGCGAUGCAGACCACAAGCUGAGGAAAACCAGCAGCCCCCAGAAGCUGGAGGAGGCAAGGAAUGGAUUCUUCCUGGAUCCACCAGAGGGAGCACGGCGCUGCCAGUACCUUGCUCGUGACCCAUGACACUGAGUGGAUUUCUGGCCUCAAGAACCGUGAGAGAAUGAAUUUUUAUUGUUUUAAGCCAUCAAGUUUGUGGAGAUUUGUUACAAUAGCCACAGGAAAACUAAUACACGUACCAUACAAAUCACCCAUUAAAAGUGUACAAUUCUAGAGUUUUUAGUGUAUUCACAGAGUUGUGCAACCAUUACCACAAUCAAUUCUAGAACAUUUCAUCACCCCACAAGGAAACCUUGUACCAAUUGUCGGUCACCCUCAUUCCCUCCACCUCCCCAGUGCUAGGCGACUGCUAACCUACCUUCUGUCCUCUAUAGAUUCGUCUAUUCUGGGCAUUCAUGUAAAUGGAAUCAUACACUACAUGGUCUUUUGAAUCUGGCUUCUUUUGCUCAGCUUAGUGUUUUCAAGAUUCAUCCAUGUUGUAGCGUGUAUCAAUACUUCAUUUCUUUUUACUGCUGAAUAAGAACAUGACUUUGUAAUAUCAGGUUAUAAGUUUAAAAUGUCUGUGAGAAAAUCCUGAUCAAGACCUUUUUUAAAACGGCAAUCUUUUCAAAAUAUUGGUAGUCACCACAGAAAUUUUGAGAAGCCAGUGAUUAAAAAUGUUUAGUCUAUUACAGCCAUUAUAAAAUUUAUAAUGGUUGAAAUUCUAUUUAAAGACUCUAACAGCUGAUUCUUUGCUCUCAUUGACAAAUGUGAUGUUGGACUUUCUUGUGGUAAUGUGAAUUUCCAGUCCAAUAGAAGUUUUUCAUAGCAAAUGUUUCAAGAUACUGAUAAAGCCUAUUAGUGCUUGGGCACCACUAAGAGAGCACAGUAGCCACCAAUGGGCAGAUGUACAGGAUGGAUGUGGAGACAAAGAGUGGGGCCAUACCUGAAGCGGGUGUGCUAGCAGCCUCAGCUCAGCCUCUUAGACCUGCUGCAUGUCUGCCCUGCUCCUUCCCUAGCACCUGCGACAGCCCUUGACCACAGGGACGGAGGUGUGCUGCAGUGGGCCACUGAAAUAGACAGCCAGAUGGCAGGGCAUCUCCUUGGUCUCUCUCAUCCUGUCAUGUUGGGACAAGGACUCUGGGUGUCUCUUGUGUCCUUUAUUGUUCUCAGCCCAUCAGAGCCCACUCCACUGGGACUGCCCUUUGAGGAGCCUUUGACAGAUUUCUCUAAGUCAGAGGUGUCCAACAGCCCUGUGUCGCAUUCAUGGUUCACACUCAGCACACCCAUUGCAAAGCUCUGCUCCAGGUUGGCUAUGAGCAUUUGGGGCCUGUAUGUGAUGGAAAAUAGCAGGAGGGCACAUGGAGUUACCCCUGGUUUUGCAGUCUUGUCAAAUUUCUAUGGAGCAAUGACUGCUUCAGACCUCUCAUUUCCUUUCUUCCUGAGCUUUAGUACCUAUCCUGGCAUUGACUUGUAUCCUGGGUGUUUGGGAAGUAGAUAACUUGUCACAUUAGAUCACAGAUACUUCUGAUCAAGAGGAACCAUAUCCAAGGAGCUAUACCCGAGGAAGCCCAUCUUCAUCUGGGUUCAGGGGAUGAGGUCAUGGAUUUUGAGUAGAUGCUACAAUGAGAUGAGAUUCUGGCGGUCUUGGAAGGGGGUGAGUGUAUUUUGCAUUUGGCAGGAUGCACAUUAUUGUGGCUAGAUGAUGGAAUGUCUCAAAAAUAGGCGCCAUCUAUUCCCUCACUCUAUGCAUCCUCAUGCCACUCCUCCAUUAAGAGGUCGGUUUGUUCCCCCUCCCCUUGAGUCUGGGAUGGCUCUAUGACUGCAUUGACCAAUAGAAUACAGCAGAAGUGAGGUUCUAAAAUUUGUGUGGAAAUCCAAAGACCUAGAACGUCCAGAAAAAUCUUGAAAAAAAGAGUUGGAGGGCUCACAGUGUACUUUAACUUUGCAGUUAGUUAAGUGUGGUAUUGGAGUAAGAACAGACAUAUGGAUCAAUGGAACAGAAUAGAAAGUGCAGAAAUAAAGCCACAGGUAUGUGGCUAAUUGACUUUUACAAAUGUCCCACGGUAAUUCACUGGAGAAAGAAUAAUCUUCUCAACAAAGCAUGUUGGAAAAACUAGAACAAAUGUGUGAAGAAAAUGAAUCGCAACCCCCAUCUCAUACCACAUAUAACAAUUAAUUCAAAAUGGAUGAUAGACUAAACAUAAAAGCUACAGCUAUGAAGUUUUUAUAAGAAAACAUAGGAGAAAAUCUUCUCAAACUUGGGUUGGUAAACAUUUCUUAGAGAGGACACAACAAGCACCAAACAUAAUAGAAAAAAUUGAUGUAUUGGACAUCAUUGAAAAAUUUAAAAAUUUGCUUUUCAAAGGUACUAUUAAGAAAAUGAGGAGGCCGGCCCCGUGGCCAAGUGGUUAAGUUUGCGCUCUCUGCUGCGGUGGCCCAGGGUUUCACUGGUUCAGAUCCUGGGUGUGGACAUGGCACUGCUCAUCAGGCCAUGCUGAGGCAGCAUCCCACAUGCCACAACUAGAAGGACUCACAACUAAGAAUAUCUAACUAUGUACUGGGGGCCUUUGGGGAGAAAAAAGGAAAAAUAAAAUCUUAAAAAAAAAAGGAAAUGAAAAGCUAGUCAUAGACAGUGGGAGUGGGUAUCUGAGUAAGGACUUGUAUCCAGAUAUAUAAAAAAUUCCUACAAAUCCAUAGCAAAAUAUAAACAGGCAAAAGACUUGAAAAGACACUUCAUAAAAGAAUUUAUAAGAAUGGCCACUAAACGAAUGGAAAAGUGUUCAAUAUCAUCAAAUUAAAAUCACAGUGAGAGGCCACAUAAUCAUUAGAAUGGCUAAAAUUAAAGUCUGACAACACAAAUGUUGGAAGUAUGUGGAGCAACUGGAAUUCUCAUAAUUUGCAGGUGAACUAUGAAUUAAAAAUGAAGAGUGCUCAUAAUUUUUUGCUUAAAAAGUUAUACACACCUACUCUAUGACCCAGCAAUUUCACUCCUACAUAUUUACCCAAGAGAAAUCAAACCAUAUGCCUAUAACAAGACUAUAUUCGAAUAUUUGUACUAGAAUAUUUAUAGCAGUUUUAUUCAUAAGAGCCAAAACGUGAAAACAACCUAAAUGUCUGUUAAUAGGAGAAUGGAUUAGCAAAUGGUGGUGUAGUUGUGCAAUGGGAAUACAGCUCGUCAACAAAAAAGAGGAAACUACUGAUACACACAACGACACAGAGAUCUCAAACACUGUGCUGAUGAAAGAAGCUAGCCACAAAGAGUGCGCACUGCACGAUUCCAUUCGCAUAAAGUUGAAGAAGAGGCAAAACUAAUCCACGGUGAUAGAAAUCAGAACAGAGGAAGCCUCGGAGGGUAGGGUGGGAAAUGACUGCAGAGGGGGCACAGGGACCGUCUGGGGUAGAUGGAGAUGUUCUAUAUCUUGAUGGUGACGCUUCCAUAGGUGUUUACCUUUAACGAAACUCAUUAAAUUACAAACUUAAGAUAUGUGCAGUUUACUCUGUAUACAUUUUGUAUCACUUAACAAAUUGCAAAUUUAGAAAACCUAUAUGGAUUAGUGUCUCCUAGGCCUCAUCAUUUAGGUCUCAGUUUGAACGUCACCUCCUCGGAGAGACCUGCCCUGACCGGAGACGGUGGCCCUUGCUGCUCAGGCUGUAUCACGUAACGGACUUUUAUUUUCUGCAUAGUGCUUAUCUGUAUCCAAAAGCACAUUUAAAAAAUGAAUUAAUCCAUUGAUUAAGUGAUUGGUUGCUCCACUACCUCCCACUACAGUGUAAGUUCUGUGAAAACAGGGACUAUGUCCAUUUUGUUUUCGGCUUUGUCCCCAGUGCCUGGCACAUUGGGUUUGCCCAAUAAACAUUUGUUGUGAUUGAAUGAAUGAUGGAUACAAGAGCAGAAAAAUUAAACUGACUAAUAGAGAUUUUUCCUUCUGUUUGUAGAACGUGGGCUGGGCAGCAUACAAGGAGGCUUACCCUCAUCAGUUACUGACCAUCCACUUCUUCCAUUCCUUCCAGAAACAUUUUCCAGGUGCCUCCUGUGUGCUGAGUGCUGAUGGAAGCCUUGCACACCAGGUGCGAGCAGAUGAUCAGUGAGACUGAGACAGGUGUGCCGUGGGAAGGGCCAGGCUGGCUCCUGGAAGCGGGGCAGGCUCCUUGAUUCCCCACACGCUUUGGAACAUCUAUCUUUAGGUCCAUUUUACAGAUGAGUAAAAUGAAUUUUUAUUUCAAGGGUAGUAACUUCCCUAUAAGUUUUAGAGCAGAAGAAUGAGACAACCAAAAUCAGGGCCCAAUGAGGCUAGUUAGGACCCACCCAUCAUGGGGGAUGGGGGCCUGAGCAAUUGGAAGGAAGAAGUGAUGGAUGAAAGACAUACUGCACCCACAAUAGUAGCUUUUAUUGUAUAUUCUCUAUAGAGGAGGCAGGACUUGGCUGUUAAAUUUUAUUUUUCUUAAGUAACCUUCUUUUAUAACUAUUUUAUAAGAUUUACAGGAUUGCCAUGCAAUUUGUGCUUGUGGAAGAAUUUUAGGCAAAUGUUUUCAAAUGUUACUCACUGAUUGAUCCACGGCUUCCAACAGCGUUUGUUGAAUAGCACUUUAGCCAGAAAACGCCUUCCUUAGCCCUCACAGCCCCCUCUCCCCGAAACCAGAACUCAGCCCUUUUAGUUGAUCACAAUCCUUAGCCCUCUCCCUGAGCUUUUCCUGAUCGCUGCUAGUUCACACAUUCCUUUCCCAGGAGACCUUCAGGACACAAGCUGCCGCUAGCCAGCCUGGGCGGCACUGUCAACAGCCCUCUCAGGAAGGAGCAAACAGCUGGUCUCUGAGUCCCUGAGGGAGGAGUAAGAGGAAGCAGAUUUAAAUUUCAACAGUGACAACACAGGCCUGACACAAAUGACAACUGUCGAAUUCUACAAGAUUUCCUUAAUUGGGCCUAAAAAGAGCAGCAGACAAGGUCCCUUUCUGACCUGAGGUUUGACAACUUCCUUCUCCCUUACUGGUGACCCUAUUCCAAGACAUACCAGCAGCCGUGAACAGAAGACAGGAGACCCUUGGUCAGUGGAUAAAAUUACAGUUGUGAGUAAAGUUCGAAGAUGGCAGCGCUGCACGUCUUUGUUCUUAGAAAGCUUCAUCUGGAGUGGUGGGGAGCUUCUUGGUCUGUAAGUCCUUCUUCAUUUUUCACCUAACAGGACAUAUUUAAGAGACCACGUCUCUCAAAACCAUCUCUGGCAGGGUUGCUGCCAAUAUCUGCUCCUUGCAAACAGCAAGGAGACUUAAAAACAGCAACAGCACGUCUCUAUGGGGCCCCCAGCUCUUUCUUUAUAAAUUCUUUCCCUUAAUAAAGAGAAAUUGUUGUGCUAUAUUGUGGCAGAGUUUGGGGCUUACAGAGAUAGAAUGGGAAGUAAAGGGCGACUGGCUGCCGCUGUGCAGGCGCUCUCUGAUUGUAAAACCAACCCAGUAACGGAUAAUAACCACCUUAGUGCGCUUAUCAAGGCAGUUCCUCUCUGGGAUGCAGAAGAGGCCACUGGAGACAACGCGCAGGCCUCUCACCGCUCCCGUUCAUUAACAAGGCACUGCUGGCUGCAGCUCAGGCUCCAUUACCUAGAGGCAACAAUGGCCGGGACCCGCAUUGAGUUGUAAUUAGGCUUGAUCAGGGCUAGGGUGCAGUUGCCAUAAUCAGGAUCACUCGGAAUUAAAUGUAUACUUGUGAAAGGAAAUGAGGUGAGAUUGAUUUAAUGGUAACCAAAGCAACCCCCUUUUCUGUAACCGUCUAAGCUUAAAGAGAGAGAGAAAGAGAGGGAGAGAGAAAAAGAAAAAAGCAGGGCAAAGGAAUACAGAAGAUGACCAUUUUAGUUUUAUGCAAUUUAUUGCAACUAGUUAGGAGAAAAUGUGUUUCAAUAAGAGCAAAUCUGUUCUAGCAAGGUGAUGGCUGGGUCCCAGAGAGCUUUGUAGGUCUCACUCCGUGCCUAAAGCAGAUCCUGUGAUUCUUAAUUUCCUCCUCCUUUUUGUCCAUUUCAUAUGUGUUUGGAAAUAGCCUGAUUAGGGCAAGAAUUUCAAUUUGCAGGAAAAGGAGGAGGAAAGUCAAGCUGGGCACUAUUUCCUUUCUCUGCUGAUAAUCAGUUCUUCAGUCUUUUACCUUUGGACCUAUGUAUAUCUCAGACCCAGUGACCGCCAGCUUAUCUGAGAGCAAAUAGAAGAUUUCGGAGACCUGUUUGUGAAACAGUUUAAGAAGUUGCAGAGAUGUGCACUAUUUUAUUCAAUUUUACUCAGUUGUUUUUCAGGUUAGCAAGAUGCCGCUCUGGGAAUAAAAUCUCACCCUUAAGGUUUGAGAUAAUUAGUGAAACGAGCGCAUAUGCAUACAUUUUCAUUUCUGCACAUACAUGCAGAUAUUGGUAUACAUGAUUUAUUCCAUUCAUACAUGUGUGAUCUCUAAUAUUUAGACAUCAUAAGUGAAAUAUUUGCUCUUUCUCUUUUCUCCCCCUUGGCAGAUUUAUGAAUCUCUUCCUACAGCACAUCAGGUUCAAAAGGAAAAAUAUCACAGUCAUUUUGAGGCUAGGAUACUGUUAAAUAUGUAGAGAAUGGCUUAAAGGGAGAAACUUUGUUUCUUAAAUACUUCUCAGAUGAUUAUGUGGAUGAGAAAAUGACGUGUAAAUAUUUUGAGCCAUUUGAGUGAGUAGCAAGUGUUGAAACAAAGUACAUUUCUUCCAGAUUUUAAAAAAAGAACUCUCUAGCUCUUUUUUUCUUUCUCUGUUGGAUAUAACACCUUAGCUAUUCAAAUAAUAAAACUAUAAUAACCUUCUGAAGAAAUCAUUGAGGUGAUUGGUACAUAUUAAUGCAUAUCUGACUAUGUGGACAUCUCAUGUGUAGGUUUGUAAGUGAACCUAAGUGAGGUCAUCUAGUUACGCUAAAUGGCCCAGCCCCUCCUCUGUGUGACCACCCGCUGCUCUGCGCGUACUCUAAACAGUUCACAUGCUCUCUUGAUUGAUGGCCUUCGCUUAUGUGUGUACUCCUCCAUAGCUUGGUAAAUUAAAACUUUGUUCUAUGAGUUUCUCUCCAGGAACAGGCUGACCACAGGCCGGAAACACACCUACAAGGUAUUCAGCAUCAGUGACAGAAGAAAAGAACAACGAAGACCCUGGAGUCCGUCCUGCCUGAAGGCUGACAUUUCUAAACCCCCUCCUUACUGCCCAUUUUCCUGAUGUAACUGCCUCAAGAUUCUGUAAUCCUUGAAGAUGGUUUUUUUGAGACAUUAUUCUGCCAUCUUUCUGAUUAUGCCAGCUAAUUGAAUUAAAGCGUCAUUUCUUGGUCUCUAACGUGAUUCAUUGGCUCAGAUCUCAGUAAGCAGAGAAAUCCCAUUGCUCUGUAUCAGGUUUAGUCUUUACGUCACAUGUUAAUUAGGAUUUUUGCGGUUUGAAUAAAGCAUCACAUUUAGCUAAAAUUUAUUUCAACUCCUCUACAGCUGGAGAUCUUAUAAAACCUUAAACAUAUACUUCAAAUCUAUU
rnacentral:lncRNA from 1 species